AGUGAACGCUGGCGGUAGGCCUAACACAUGCAAGUCGAACGGCAGCACAGUAAGAGCUUGCUCUUACAGGUGGCGAGUGGCGGACGGGUGAGGAAUACAUCGGAAUCUACUUUUUCGUGGGGGAUAACGUAGGGAAACUUACGCUAAUACCGCAUACGACCUACGGGUGAAAGCAGGGGAUCUUCGGACCUUGCGCGAUUGAAUGAGCCGAUGUCGGAUUAGCUAGUUGGCGGGGUAAAGGCCCACCAAGGCGACGAUCCGUAGCUGGUCUGAGAGGAUGAUCAGCCACACUGGAACUGAGACACGGCCCAGACUCCUACGGGAGGCAGCAGUGGGGAAUAUUGGACAAUGGGCGCAAGCCUGAUCCAGCCAUACCGCGUGGGUGAAGAAGGCCUUCGGGUUGUAAAGCCCUUUUGUUGGGAAAGAAAAGCAGCAGGUUAAUACCCCGCUGUUCUGACGGUACCCAAAGAAUAAGCACCGGCUAACUUCGUG
rnacentral:rRNA from 1 species